UCUUGACUCCGCCCAGCCGCGCCACCCAGGCUGUACAGGAGGCAUGGCUGGGGAGGCCUCAGAAAACUUACAAUCAUGGCAGAAGGUGAAGGGGAAGCCAGCACAUCUUCAUAUGAUGGCAGGAACUUUAUAUGUUAUAGAAGUUAGCCCCAAGAAUGAAAUCGUGUCCUUUGCCAAAACAUGGAUGGAGCUAGAGGCCUUUAUCCUAAGGUGCUCUAUGCUUAGCCCAUCAUAGAUUGUGGCCCUUCAUUCCUGCAUUUGAUGAAUCCAGGGAACCCUCUCUCCAACACCCUUGGCCUCUCUGCAACUUUCUAACAUCAGGCAGAGUCAGAGGCACCAUCCCCAGAAGCUACAAAUCUUCAGCAUUCUCCACUCUGUGAAGUCAGAGGAAUGGCGGGACCAUAGCUCUGAGCUCAUUGGCAAAUACAACUAAUUUCAAUUUCUGGAAUGGAAGCAGUCAGAUAUUCUUCUGACUGCACGCGUAUGUGGGAGUGCCAUGUUGAAGAGUGGAAAAUAUGGAAGAUCAGUCCCUACAAACUUAAUAGGAGAAUGACAUUCAGAUUUCCCGAGUAUUUUGCAUGUCCAACUGAAAACUGAAGUAGGUUUAUGAGAGAAUGCACGCCUACCUGGAUGGGUCUGGGGAGUGUGUCACUGUCACCGCAGAUAAUUGACAAGGGCUGAUCAAAUAGCGAUGCUUUCAAGUCUGUCUCCAAAGCCCCAGAAAAAUCUGAUGCAGGGGAGAGCCUUCUCAUGAGAAAGGGCCAGGACAGCACCUUCUUUCUCUUCUUAACUUCUACAGCCAAGAAAACAAGGCAACGAGAAAAAUUAGACUACAGUGUUAAGAAGCAAAGAUCCAGGUAAGAAAAUGGGUAUCGUUGGCCGCAUAAUGUGGUCAAUAGUAUGCGAUGUGAGAAAAAUAAUUUUGAAAACUUGAGAAAGCAAAGGGCGUGAAUCUUAAUCUAGAAAAACCAACCGAUAAACAACCACACUGUUACCAGGGCAACCAGUUCCCUAAACAGCAACACCAGAGUUCCUCAAGGCCUCCACCUUUCCUGUUUUCACUCUUUCCAGCUGUUUGCUACAGAAAAUUAGCAAAACCUAACUGUGCUGAUCAUAAACAACCAUCUUAACCUACUGGCCUGAAUAACUAUAGAGGAAAUUUCUGAUAUGAAAUAGAUUAUUUUGAUUUCCUCCUUUAACUGGCGAAGAAAACGAAACUUAAAAGGUGAGGAAGUGACUUGCUGAAUAUCUUUUCGAAGGCACAUAGCAGGGCUGGCUCCAACCCUUUGCAGCCACGCAGGCACUAAACAGCCACUAGAGGGAGCUAACACCAUUUUUCCUUCCAGGUGACUGGUCACCUUGGGUUUUCCAGGUUGCUGCUUUAGGACAGAGGCAAAUACGAAUCGCUGCGGGAAGCCUUGAACCUAGAUCUGGCAACUGGGAAUUAUCAGCAAAACGUUAUCAAGAUAUUCUGUCCUUCUGAAAUCCACAAGAUGUGUGUGCAAUGGAUAUUGCAAUCUCAAACAUUUCCUUCUUUCUUUUCUUUUCCUUCCUUCCUUCCUUCUCCUUUCUUACUAAUUAUAAAGGCUAUAUUUUCUAAA
ensembl:lncRNA TAGAP-AS1 TAGAP antisense RNA 1